rnacentral:rRNA from 1 species
CAUCGCUCCUUGUAAAAAAUUAAUAAAGGAGUACUGCCUGCCCAGUGACCAAAAAUUCAACGGCCGCGGUAUCUUGACCGUGCAAAGGUAGCAUAAUAAUUUGCUCUUUAAUUGAGGGCUAGUAUGAAAGGCAAGACGAAAGCUUAACUGUCUCCCUAUUAUAAAAAGAAAUUAAUAUAUUAGUGAAGAAGCUAAAAUAAAAAUGCAAGACGAGAAGACCCUGUCGAGCUUAAGAAAAUUUUUAUACAAAAAACAAAAAUAAAAGCUAAUCUUAUAAAUAUACUUUUUUAUAAACAAUAAAAAUAUCUUUGGUUGGGGCAACCACGAAGAAAAUAGAACCUUCGAUUUUUAAAAAAAAAUAAACAAAUUUAAAAGCUUUAUAAGCUAUAUUAGAUCCAAUACUAAUUGAUCAAAGAAAAAAGUUACCGCAGGGAUAACAGCGUUAUUCUCUUUAAGAGCUCUUAUUGACAAGAGAGUUUGCGACCUCGAUGUUGGACCGGGGCAUCCAAGAGAUGCAGAAGUCUCUAAAGGUAGGUCUGUUCGACCUUUAAAGCCCUACGUGA